AUUGAACGCUGGCGGCAUGCCUUACACAUGCAAGUCGAACGGUAGAGUAGCAAUACUUGAGAGUGGCGAACGGGUGAGUAAUAUAUCGGAACGUGCCCAGUCGUGGGGGAUAACGUAGAGAAAUUUACGCUAAUACCGCAUACGAUCUAAGGAUGAAAGCGGGGGAUUCGCAAGAACCUCGCGCGAUUGGAGCGGCUGAUAUCAGAUUAGGUUGUUGGUGAGGUAAAAGCUCACCAAGCCGACGAUCUGUAGCUGGUUUGAGAGAACGACCAGCCACACUGGGACUGAGACACGGCCCAGACUCCUACGGGAGGCAGCAGUGGGGAAUUUUGGACAAUGGGCGAAAGCCUGAUCCAGCAAUGCCGCGUGCAGGAAGAAGGCCU
rnacentral:rRNA from 1 species